UUUAUAUUAAUUGUUAAUUAGCUCCAUGUAUACAGUCUCUCCCUCUUUUUUCAUGAAUUAGAGGAAAUCUCAUUAUUUUAUUAAAUUAUUGUGCCAUGAGAUUUUAUAUAUGCUGAAAGAAUAAAUAUUAUUCUACUCAUUUAAUGAUAAAUUUGGUUACUCGAAUACGAAUAAAACUUUAGAAGCUACAGACAACACAAAAAUUAAGCUCACUUUUCAUUGAAC
rnacentral:lncRNA from 1 species